AUAAAUCUUCAGGGCAGGGCGUAAUUCCCUACUGGCGGUACACUCCGCGAACCUUCGGGCCGAACUGGUGAAAUUCCAGUAGCAACAGUUAAAGUCUGGAUGAAAGAAGAGUUUA
rnacentral:ncRNA from 2 species